rnacentral:lncRNA from 1 species
GAGAAUCUGUGUCCUGAGGAAAAAUACAAGCAUACCCUCGCCCACAAGUUAGCAACACAUCUGGCCCUAUUUAUUCUCUGGGUAUUCAGAACCCUAUGGAAGUUGUGUGCAGUCUUCAGACUCAACACCUGUCUUCACUUCCCCUGGGGAAAGCCCAGGUACAUGGAAUGAGUAGUUUCAAUUUAUAAACAGCAGUAACAGGGAGGAAGUUUCACCAAGGGUCUACAACUUGGAGAAAGAAUGGAAUAACUGCGUAUCUUUUCAAGUACAUCUCAGUGUGUAUGGUUUUUGUAAUAAGAUCUAUAGCACUAUUUUUCUGUGAGAAAUAAGUAUACAUCAGUCUGAAGAAAUAAUAAAUAGAGAAUCCCUUGUAUCUGUUUAUAAAGU